GCCCGGGUGGCGAAAUCGGUAGACGCAGCAGAUUCAAAAUCUGCCGCUGGCAACAGCGUGUCGGUUCGAGUCCGACCCCGGGCA
rnacentral:tRNA from 1 species